GGAGUCCUGGCGGAGGGCCUCCUGAGGCACGCGGAUGGCUUUGUGAUGCUAGCAAGCAGACACGUGAGAAAUAGGAGAAUGUUCAGCAGGGCGUGCACAGUCACACAGGAAUGAAUGAGCUUGACACACACACUCGUGUUCGUGUGAGACACUUGCAUCCAACAUGCACAGAAGUCCAGCAAUGCAGACUGAGUUAUGAAAUUUGGAGAGGAAGACCAAGAGGAGGGGAAGUGGCAAUCUCAUCACAUCAGGUAAAGGGUACACGCUACCAGUAGAAUAUAUUACUGAAGUUCCAGUUAUUUCCACUCUGCUGAGAUGUCGGGAAACCUACGAGGAAGGAAGGCAGUUUCAUCAUGGAUUCUGGGUAUGGAGACUUUCUCCAAGCAAUUUUUCUAUCCCCAGAGAAACACAGUCCAUCAAGGUUAACAAACUCAAGAGAACUCUUCAUCUACAAGACUAUGAAAAGGGAAGACUUUGAUUUCACUUUGAACCCACUGGAAUCAGGAAUUGAGAGGGUGUUUGGGCAACUCUGAUCUUCUCAGCUUUCAAUUUUGCAGCCUGUUCUUCCUGUGAACACAAGCACUGCAGAUAAACUAAUGCUAAUAAAACAAUGAGAAUUUCUGGCUAUACAACGAGAUCACUACGCUACAGUCAUUAAAACUCUCAGUUUCAGGAAUAAUUCGUUUUAGAUAAACAAAUCAUUGUUAGUUUAAUUACCAAACCCUGUGUUUUUGAUGAGUAUAGCACUACUCUAGAAAGGACUUUUGAAUACUAUC